rnacentral:rRNA from 1 species
GAUGAACGCUAGCGGGAGGCCUAACACAUGCAAGCCGAGCGGUAUGGGUAGCUUGCUACCCAGAGAGCGGCGUACGGGUGCGUAACACGUGUGCAACCUGCCCCUCUCCGGGGGAUAGCCCUCCGCAAGGAGGAUUAAUACACCCUAAUAUAUCUGGUGGCAUCACUAGUUAUUGAAAACCCCGGUGGAUAGGGAUGGGCGCGCGCACGAUUAGAUAGUUGGCGGGGUAACGGCCCACCAAGUCGAUGAUCUUUAGGGGUCCUGAGAGGGAGAGCCCCCACACGGGUACUGGGAAAAGGACCAGACUCCUACGGGAGGCAGCAGUGAGGAAUAUUGGACAGUGGAUGGAAGCCUGAUGCAGCCAUCCCGCGUGCGGGACGACGGCCCGAUGGGUUGUAAACCUCGUUUGUACGGGGAUAAACCUAUCUACGUGUAGAUAGCUGAAGGUACCGUACGAAGAAGCACCGGCUAACUCCGUG